rnacentral:tRNA from 2 species
GGGUGGUUAGCUCAGUUGGUAGAGCGCUACGUUCACACCGUAGAGGUCGACAGUUCGAGUCUGUCAUCACCCACCA